rnacentral:snRNA from 1 species
GUGCUUGCUUCGGCAGCACAUACACUGAAAGUAAUACAAUACUGUGAA